CGACCUGGGUAUGUGGAUAGUUUUCACUUCUUCAACGGUUCAUUGAUGCAGGAGUAAGCUUGCGACCUAGGUAUGUGGAUAGAUUUCACUUCUUCAACGGUUCAUUGAUGCACGAGUAAGCUUGCGACCUGGGUAUGUGGAUAGAUUUCACUUCUUCAACGGUUCAUUGAUGCACGAAAGCAUAAAAGAUAUAAGAAUCUCAUCUCCUUCUGGUGGAACGGCAGAGGGCUUGGCUGCUACCAGGGUGAUCCAAAGGGUGUAUCUAGGUAGCAUGUUUGUGGCCUCUUGCACUAACAUGAUUAAUGGUAGCUUCUAUUCCAUGACAUGAUUUUUGCAGCUGUAACAAUAUGUUUCAUGCAAGAGGACAUAAAUUUGCAUCCUAUUUUUCUGUCCAGUUAGUUCCAAAUUACAAAUGUUUGUGCUAUCACUGACAAUUUGGUGGAAAAAGAUGAGUCGUAUAUACACCCAGUGUAAGCUUUCACAUCAGCCGUUGCUCUUGAUUGUCUUUGCAAGUCCAUAGAUAUAAUUUCUUAUGAUUUUCCUUUACUCAUAGUAAGUACUGAAUAUUUUGUGCUUCAACCCUUUAGGUGUUAAUUUCUAUGAUGUGGCUAGCAAAGUUGGCAACAGCUGGAGCUACCUGGAACUUUCAAUUUUGGUGCCAAGAUGGAUGGAUUCAACUGGGUGACCCACAGUCAGGGCGUGGCCGCGGCUGCGGCGCGGGCAGCAAGGACGAGCGCCGCAAGGGAGCCGAUGGGCGUGGGUGUGAACCGGGGAGAGGAGACCAUGGCGGAGGAGAUGAGAGAAGGCCACUGUCUUCUUCUCCCCCCUCUCCGACCAGAAACCCCUAUCUAUCCAUCCGAUGAGAGAAGACUGCAGGCGGAGGAGAGGAGACGCGGGUGAGGUAAGAGGAGCCAAAUCCCCAUCAUGCUCCUCCCCGCGCGCCGCCGACCCACCAGCGGCAUUCUUUCUGGUGUUCUAGGGGAAACAAACAACAAGAUGGUGGUGCAGGUCUUCGGGUAUGGGUCCCUGAUCUGGAACCCCGGCUUCGAUUUCAACGAGAAGAUCCUGAGAUUCAUCAAGGGCUACAAGCGAACGUUUAAUCUCGCUUGCAUUGACCAUAGAGGCGCACCACAGAAUCCAUUCAGGACCUGCACCCCUGAAUCCGAAGAUGAAGAAAUAUGUGUA